AUCCAUGGCUUCACUCUUCCUUCCAACAGCCUGCGGCCGUCGGCGCACCCUUCUUCCAUGGCACUAGAGAUGGAUCUAGCCCCGCCCCGCCCCGCCAGAUGGAGACGCAUACCCGCUCCGCUGGCCGGACGGCAGCAACGUGCGUCCCACAACUACCUACUCCAGAUGGGAAACAGUCCGCGCCCAGUGACUCUCAAAGCGGCCGGAGCGCCAACGUUUGCCGACCUCCAUUGCCUCUUCUCUUCGUCUCAUGGGUGGGUGGGUUUGUUGGUUGGAUCUGUCUCUAUUUUAUGUUACACUAGUAUUACACACGGAUAUUUCCAUCCAUCGAGUAAAACGAAUAUCCCAGCCGCGUCAAGCCCUGUUAGGCCGUCUCCUGUGUGUGUAUGUGCAGAGUUUAUUUGUUUUGUUUUGUUUUAAUCUUCUGUAUGUAUAUCACCGGAGGACAAAGCAAAAGAAAAUAAAUCCAUCUUGAGAAGAAGAUUCACCCGAGUACUGUUUUCAGGUUGUUUGUAUCUGUGGGAAUUUUUCCUACAAGGAUUUCAAACUGUUUGGGAUCUUUCCCAUGCAGUCUAUUGUCUUUUAAGAAAAAAAUAGAUAAAAAUCUUAAACCUCUUCUUGCAAUUCCUUUAUUACUUCUUCUGGUGGUGUAUGUAAAACACUCUUUGAUGAGUUUUUUCUUUUGCCACACCCUUUAGUACCACUUAUUACAGAGAUAACAAUCCAAAGUACAUUUUAUUUGCCUAGCUCUGUCGCUAAGCCUUUUCAUCUUAGCACUUAUACUCACAAACUUUAGUGUCAUUGUUAGUCCACUUUUCGCCAGUGCUAAGGUGAUAUGAGGAUACAUGCUAAGAUUAAAAAACUUAGUGUCCAAUGCUAUGCUAGAUUAAUCUUAAUCAUUUACAGUUAUCCAUUCUAGUUAAAUUGAUAGUUUUACAGUCUAGGUCAUAUGAUUCGUGCCAGGGUAAAUUGAAAGAGAAUAUUAAUGUAAUGUAUUCAUCUUAGCUUCUAUUGUGUCGGUGGUAGAGAUGUGGAAGCUCCAGUCGCUAAAGAGAUGGAGUAAUUUAGCUAGCGUUUGGGUCAUACUUUGGGUUGUGAUUCUUGUUGCUUUGACUUUUUUUUUAGCAUACGAACAUUCAAGUAAGAUCGUGUUGCUUUGAUUUCACUUUUUUUUAUUAAUUCAGUGUGUGCUUCUAUUAGGAUUUUGAUGAUUUUUUCAUCAAGUGAACCAAGCACAUAAUAGGUUGAGAAAAUUGAUGUGUGUAAUAACCGUUGUGAAGGCAUGGUUCUAUCAGAUUGGUGCAUUUUUAAAACAUCCCUUUGUUUGUGAGUUUUUUUUUUAACUCUGUGGUCAUCUUAUGGGGAUAUGCGCACAUAGAGCGAGUGGUUCACAUGUGUGUAGGGUCAGCCUUGUCCCCAUUUUCAUUUUGGUAGCGGUCGAUGUCCACUCGUUCUCUCCCUCUCUAGACAGACAGAUCCAUCCAUGGAGAUCGUCCACAUGUUAUUUGUCUGCAGUUUCCUUACUGUAUGUGUAUGCAUGCUUGCUCUUCAGGACCUUGGAUUCCUUGCCUGUUGCUCAUGACAGGCCGUCUGUUGCUGCAUUUGAUUUCUUUCUUGUGAAGGUGUCCAGAUCCUGAUGCAUGGGGAACUUGAUAUGAACCAUCAACUCCUGGCAUCUUGGAUUUGCCUGUGUUGCAUUAGUUGUCUUGUGAAGAAGAUGUUCAAGUCCUGAUGCAAAGGGAACAACCGUCAACUCAUGGGAUAAAGCAGUCUGAUACUGUAUUGGCUCCACCAAGCCAGUGGGAUCUUGUGUCAGAUAAAACAAAUGAUGCAGGAGGAGCAACCAUUGCAGGUUAUAUUCGAUGCACUGCAUACCAAGUUAAGCUACCGGCCAGCCAUUUAGGACCAAAUGAAGCAAUUCAAAAGUUGUGCUACAUAAAUAGGUUCUUUGACUUGUAAGUCAAAAAUCAAAAGUUACAAGUUAAGCAUAACCAAACACUGGGAAUGGCCGCACCAAAGGUAAGAAAAGGUGACAUCAUCUGAAAGUUAGCAUAUACAUUUUGCUAGAUAUAUCAUUUUAACUUUUAGAAUAACUACAGUCAGCACUUUUGCAAAACUGAUUGGUUUAUGAAAAAAACACAUGCGAAUUUACACUGCACUUAUCAUUUAUGAGCCCAUUUCGUGGUGACAUGUGUAUGUUAUUAGCUUUAAUUAAGCUUGUUUGUCCAUUAAUAAAACCUGAUGAGUAUGGCCAUUGUCAGAUAAACAGAUGAUGCAGGAGCAGCUUGUUUGUCCAUUAGUAAAACCUGAUGAGUAUGGCCAUUGUCAGAUAAACAGAUGAUGCAGGAGCAACCUUUAUCUAGAAUGCUUAGAAGUAGUGGUUAUGUUGUUACCUUUGCGCUUUAUCAUCUCCCUCACAGUUACGUAAUAAUAAAUUAAAUUCUGUUGUGAUGGUCCCUAGGUGCUUGAAAAUAACAAGUCCAAAUAUUGAUGAUGCCAAAUGUUGUGAAAAACAAAUCGCAAAGGUAUGUCAUUAUUGUACUAUGUUAUGCCAAUUGUAUCUUGUGGAGAUGAUUCCUUGCAGGAGGAUGACAUUUAAACAGUCGAUGAAGUAAGGAGCACAAAGGUCCAGAGGUGAAUUUAUGCCCUGGUUAUGCAAAUCUGCUAGUAAGAUUGAAGCAAGCGAUGCAACCCGCUGAUGUGGAGCAAACUUUGAUUAACAAGUGAUGGUACAAGCUAAUGUAUGUAUGUUUUGGGCUGCUGAUGCACCAGUGUAGCAUGUUAUAAAAUUUCUGCAAGGUUACCUGGAUGUUGUGUUUA